UCAGGUACUUAGUGACUCUCA
rnacentral:ncRNA from 2 species